rnacentral:rRNA from 1 species
AUGAACAAGAGAGGAACAGGGAACAGUGACAUGGACAAGAAGCAUAGAGGCAAGGAAGAGAGGCUCACCCCAGGCCGCGGUCGAAGGAGAGCAGCCGCUGGCCACGCGCAGGAAGAGACGGCGGGAGGUGGCAGCGAGGUACCAUAUAACUGGAAUUACCGAUGCAAGUCAAAGAAGGAUUGGCCGGUGCUGCCGGCUGGCGUCAAGUUCCAUCCCACGGAUCAGGAGCUGAUCGAGCACCUUGAGGCCAAAGUGAGUGCUGACAGCGCGAGAUUUCAGUCUCUCAUCGAUUUGUUCAUACCAACCAUCGACAGCGAGCACGGCAUAUGCUACACCCAACCUGAGAAACUUCCAGCGCAAUUCCAGGGCGUUCAAAAGGGGCACGUGGACGCGUCGCAAUAUACAGUCGGAGUGCGGCAUGCACGCGAUGUGGCACAAGACCGGCAAUACCUUGCCGGUGAUGGUCAACGGCCGGCAAGAUGGGCAGCAAAAAAGGUUAUGGUGCUGCACACCAACAAGAAAUUCGACCAGCAGAGGACCAACUGGGUGAUGCACCAGUACCACCUCGUGGACCUGGGGCAAGAGAAGGAGCGGGAGCUGUUGUACUACCUUGUCGUCCGCAAGUUGGUAUUGUUGUUAACGAUCUUUUGGUAUGAACUUGCAUUUGCUUCCAACAUCAUGCCGAGGGUCGACGUGGAUAUAAAGCUGAAUCAUUUGUUUCGAAACGAAUUUUCAGGCACCUGA